AAUCAGUGCUCUCUCAGAACCUUUAAACACAGAGCUCUAAUAAGGAAAGCCAAGCAAUAAAAUAUUCAGUAGAACUUUAUCUUGGAAGAAAUGAUUAAAAUGGAAUGUUGGCCAAUGCCCACCCUUUUUUAAUAAUUUCUCUUAUUCUAAGCACCAUUUUUACACAUUUGAGGUUAAUAAGCUCCACAUUAUAACUGGCAAGUAGGGUGCUUUAACUUUGGCAGAAUAAUGUUUUUUGUUUUUUUUUUUUGCCUGAGAAAUUUUCUGAGAGAUAAAUGAUAUUACCAGGUGGGAAGGUGAGAGCAAAACAAGACCCAAAAUGCAAAAAAAGAUAGCUGCUUUCAGAGCUGAAAAAGAAAGCACACAUCCCUUUCCUGAAGCUGACUCAUUUUCCUGUUCUCUCCCAGAAACAGGAAGACUUUUUCAAGACUUUACUACUUUGUAGUUCUGGAAAUCACUUGGAUCUGUGCAAUUUUCCUCCAGGCUCUUAUCCACAUUAUAUAUAUUUUAUAAAGUAAGCACUGAUUAAUCUCUCUACAUCUAUGAAAUGGUCCAUUUCUCUGAUUGCAUUGGUUUAAAUGGUGAAAGGAAAUCGAUUGGAAUUCUUCUCUUCCCAGUAGACAACAGGAUGGAGAAUAAAUGAUCACACUGGGAAGGAAGAGCAACACUCAUUAUAUUCCAGAAAGUCAUUAUUAUUGUGACAGAGGCAAAUUUCAGGUAUGAGGACUACAUUCUGUGUUGGAGUAUUUCACUGUAACACUACGUGCUUCUGCCCUAGAAAAACCAAAGACGAGUACUGAAGUGCUCAUAAAAUACUUGUUAUUUCCAAGCCUCUUAUUUUGUAAACUGAAAGAAAAAAACAAAGUGGCCAUUAAUAGAUUUGUUCCUACUGCAAAUGUCUGGUAUCAGAAGGUGGUUCGUAAGUGAAGGCACAGUUAAAUUGUGGUUGUUUUGUUUUUUGAAGUCAGUAACGUGGUAUUUCUAUGGCUGUGAUCUGUUAAUAACAUAUGUUUAUCAAAUUCUGAAAAUAUGUCAGACUUCUCUUUAGAAUGCAAAACAAAAAUGAAAGUCAAAGUUUACAUGUCUCAGCAGACCUCAGAUGUGAAAUUAAGCCAGAUAAGCAUAUUAGGAAGGAUGAAAACUAUUUUACAUCAACCAAAACAUAGCUGUGCAUGAGGAAAGUGCAGAUAGUAAUGAACUGGAGGAAGUAGCCUUUGUAUUUCUGGACUUUGUCAGCAGCCUUGCUCUUACUGCCAGAAAUCAGCUUUUCAGCUUUAAUGAAGAGUAGAUAUUGUUCCAAGUGGUUACUGGUCUCCAGUGAUCCAUACUUCAGGUUUGAAAGUAUACUGUAGCUGAACAUGAAGCAAACAAGAUCAGGAAACGAACAGAUUCAUUCUAGUGUUUGUAUAGAUAAAAGUCUGUGCAGUUUUGCAGAAGAAGAAGAAUGUAGACAAUGGCUUAAUUCACCUUAAUUCUUGAUACAUGGGAACACACUAGACCUCUGGAAACACUAGCAACUAACUGUAGCCAGAUGGUUAAAUUUUCCUGCACUAAUACAAAAUACUGAUGUGAACUUGUCUGAUGCAAAUUAAUACAAUGAAUGUAUGCCUUGUGAUGUCUGUGAUGGUGUGCUACCCGCCCCCUUUUCUACCUUUCCAUUGCUUUACUCAGGAUGAACAGUGCACCAAAGACCUUGCUCAGGAACAUAGUGACUGUGGUAUUGGUUCACCUCAGGCCUUGCUCAGGCAGAUAGUGACCACAGUACUGGCUCAGCCUGGUUGCUGGAGGAACUGAUGGACAGACAUCUUGUUCAACAGCUGAGGGAAAAUUGAGUAUGUGCCAGAAAACAUGACUAUGGGUCGACCAUCUUACCCUGAGUGAUGUGUGUAAUGCCAUCAGCCACAACGUCAUAGUCUUUCACAGGACAAAAGAAGACUAAAAAUGGAAAGAAAGAGAAGGGACAAGCCAGCCUAUCUAGAAAAUAUAGCCGCCAAGGAAAGCUGUGCCAGGGAAGAGGAACACACUGGUACCAAAGUCCAGUUCACAAUGGGUUCAUUCCUUCUGCCAUUUACACAAAGCCACAGCUGAUCAGACUGAAACAUUCCUCUUGCUGGCUCCUAUUCUUCCUUCAUUUUAUUAAUAACCUGGCAACAGGAUAGGGGCUAAGAAAAGAGACCUUCUAGAAUGGAGAAUUUACUGAAGAAACCAGAAGUGAAAGGUAGGUAUGGGAGUUUGAAGUCACAUUUAUUAGGUGACAUAGUUCCUUUAGAGAACGAGAAAAGGACUUUAGGCAUGAGCACAACCCAUCAGGAAAAUCCAUGGUGACCUGGGCAAAUUCAUGCAGCACGGAUGUUGUAGAACAGUUUUAUGGAAGUGUGACAUCUUAAAGUCAAAAUAUAUUUUUCUCUGAUUAUUUUUUGUAUUGAUGUGGGUUCUGUUUUGUUUUGCUUUUGUUUGUUUGACAUUGUUGCUGAUUUUUAAGUACCUGUCCUACAUGAUGAGAUCUUGCAGCUCAAUUAAAAAGGAAAUAAUUAUUUAAAGCAUUCUGUGGAAUGUGGAACAGGCCCUGGAAGCUCUAAUAGGCCUUCAUGGCCUUGAUCAGUCCCACCUUAGGACACUCCUAAACAGGGGACCAGAGCACAUUUAAGUACAGUUCUGCACCUUUAGUCUCUGCCAGAGCUCUGCUGUAGUAUGUAUUUGCUCUGCUUUCUCUCUAGUUCAUGUGCACUGGUUGUGGUCACUAAAGAAGAAUGUGUUGCUAUUGUUAUACAUUCUAAUAUCAUUACUGAAAGAUGUUUCAUUGACAUAAGUCCUUCUUACUUAAAGAACUUUUAGUACAGUUAAAUAAAAUACACAAGACAUGUAGGAUGAUUCAAAACAACAGAAUGGAUAAGAUAGCACAAAGUGUUCUGUUUCCCUUUGAAUUAUAGAAAUGCAAGUUGGAGAAGGGAAAAUUACUAAAACUUAAUUAUCAGGACAACAAAAUUUGCAGCUAAAUUUAACUGGUAGUUCUUUUAAAUACGAGUCUUGUCCAUGGGAAACCUGCAGACAUCUAGUUAAAAUUUGCUUAGUGCAAAUUUUUCCAGUUCCCACACUAAAACAGGGGGAACUGUUAAGAUUUUAACACUUCCAGUGAAGUGGCUACAAUGUUUGCCUAAAUGUUCUCCAGAAGUGGGUGAAUACACCCUUGGCCAGCUGCUUCAGAAACCGAAUCUGCUCCAAAAGGGAAAAAAAAUAAGGCUAUAGCACUUCUAGGGUGAAGUCCCUCUUGAAUUAAUCUACUGAAUAUUACAGAUAGCUGUAGUAUGAGUCACUCUAAACCUAAAGGGUCUGAUCCAGGAUAGAGUUUUAAAAUUGCUUUCUGAGAAGAGUCAGCUGGCAGUCACUUUUCAUUUUCUUUUUUGCUUAAAACAAGCAGCAGGGGGGUGCUUCUGGUUGUUCUGCUUCUGGACAGUGCUGAAGAAAUUAUCAGGUAGAUGACAGCUGUGUAGGUCUUCUGUUGAUUUUAUUUUGUGCAGGCAUGUGAGGGUAAAUAUGGUAAAAUAAUGGUAAAAAUAUUUCAAAUGCAGUCAAACCACUCCUGCAGCUUCAGGUUUUCCUAAUAAUGUGAGAAGACUUGUAUUUUCAUACAAAUAAAUGUAUUUAAAAUAAAAAUUGCAAGCAAUACAUCACUAAUAAGAGAAAAUAAGAUAUUUUAUCUCACAAUAGUUAGUAAAGUAGGCUAAUUCAUUUUGCUCCAAAUGAGUUUUUUUCUCAUGUUUUCCCAGCCAGACUACUCCUCCCACUAAAUUAAGUAUUUAUGUUAGCUGCUAAUGUAGCACCACUAGGCAGUCAAAUGUUCAUUUAAAGUUAUACCCACCCUCUCUUUCAGACACCUAUCAUAGAUUGAAGUAUGGUAUGAUUAAAUACUAAGUUUUAUUUCCUGGUCUGACAACUAUGCACACCAUUGCUGUGCUUGAUUUUAAGUCAUUACUGUCAGAGAUCAUUCUUAACAGAGAACUAAGUUUACCUGAAAGUUCUCUGUAAAGCACAACAGGUUAUUUAAGAUUGACUGCUGAAAUGCACUAGAUUAUGUUUGAUGUUGUAUGGGAACUGUUGAAUCACGGCCUGAACCUCUGAUUGACCACCUGAGGCAAAUGCUGAGUCAGCUGCAGGGGCACAGGUGAACGCAAUUUCACCUGAGUGACCGGAAGGGGUGGAGCCUGGCUCCAUCCCUCCUAGACCCCAUUUAAGUGCUGACUCCCAAGAAGGAAGGAUCUCUAUCUGGAGAUCCCUCCUCUUGGAGCCCUUCUGCAAGCCCAGGACACAGGUAAGAUCUUUAUUUCAUUUCUCCUUUGUAAUGCGAUAAUCUCUCUGGUCCAAUGCCUGUAUACCUUGUUGCCAUACAGAUGUCAUAUAAACCAUUUAAAUCCUAAUCUAGAUAAAUCUAUAAGAAUAUAUAUACAAAUAUUAUAAAUCAAAGGAAAUGAUCAUCUUUUAUUUUUCCUGUUAAUGUGACUGUUUGAGAGGCUAAGAGCUAUAAGCAUCAGCUAAAGAACAUGUCAAAGUCAAAGCUGUUAAAUUGAGAAAAUAACAGAGCAGAAAGCAAACUAUUUUGCAGUACAGGAAGUUACCAAGUCACAGGGCUUCCCACAAACUAUCAGAAGCAUAAUUGCAGAGGAAGCAGGUGUUAGGUGAUGAGAGAUGUUGCAAGGUCUCUCAUUUCAAAGGAAUCAUAAGGCAGAAAUCAGGCUGGAGCUCUGGAAAGUGUGAUGUAUGGGAACUGUUGGAUCACAGCCUGAACCUCUGAUUGACCACCUGAGGCAAGCACUGAGUCAGCCACGGGAGCAUAGGUGAAGGCAAUUCACCUGUGUGACCGGAAGGGGUGGAGCUUGGCUGCACCUCUCCUAGACCCCAUUUAAGGGCUGACUGCCACUGAGGAAGGAUCUCUUCCUGGAGAUGGCUCCUCGUGGAGUUUUUGUGGGCCUACAAUACUGGUGAGUACCUUUCUGGUUAUCUUUCCUAAUGCAGUAAUAUUACUAGCCUAAGUUCUCUGUAUACUGUAUAACAUGUGUAUGCCUAUUAACCAUAUAUGUGAGAUACCAGACAAAGAGGUAUGAAACUGUAAGUACCCUAUUAUUUGAUUUCUCAUAUGUUCAGGAGGGCACAAUUUUGUGCAUUCUGGUGAAGUACCACUAAGACUGCACCUAGCAACCAUAGAUUGUAUUAACAAUUCUUCUCCUUACAUAACAACUAAAAAAUGCUGAGGCUUACUCUAAUUAUUUCAAGAAAAAUAAGUGUUUGUAUUUUGGGAAGCUUCAGUAAGACAGCUAUAAAAUCAAGGCCCC
ensembl:lncRNA